rnacentral:tRNA from 1 species
UGUGGUGUGUAGCUCAGUGGUAGAUUGUUUGCCUUGGGUUGUAUGCACAAGGUCCCGGGUUCAAUCCCCAACGCCACAA